rnacentral:RNase_P_RNA from 1 species
UGAGUUGAGUAGAUGAUCGCGUUCCGAAUGUAGCUGACAAUCGGGAUGAGGAAAGUCCGGACUCCGCAGGGCAGGAUGCUGGGUAACCCCCAGGAGCGGCGACGCUAUGGAAAGUGCAACAGAAAGUAGACUACAACGCUUCAAAACGUUGUACAGGUGAAACGGUGCGGUAAAAGCGCACCAGUCCAUAAGGUGACUUAUGGUGCUCGGUAAACCCCAUCUGGAGCAAGGUAAAUGGUGGAAUAUAAGGUGUGCCCGCCUUCUCCCCAGGUAACCGCUUGAGGUGGGUGGUAACAUCCAUCCCAGAUGAAUGAUCAUCACAUACAGAAUCCGGCUUAUUCUCAACUCAAGUC